rnacentral:rRNA from 1 species
GAGGAACACCGGUGGCGAAGGCGGGACUCUGGGCUGUUACUGACGCUGAGGAGCGAAAGCAUGGGGAGCGAACAGGAUUAGAUACCCUGGUAGUCCAUGCCGUAAACGUUGGGCACUAGGUGUGGGGUCCAUUCCACGGAUUCUGCGCCGUAGCUAACGCAUUAAGUGCCCCGCCUGGGGAGUACGGCCGCAAGGCUAAAACUCAAAGGAAUUGACGGGGGCCCGCACAAGCGGCGGAGCAUGCGGAUUAAUUCGAUGCAACGCGAAGAACCUUACCAAGGCUUGACAUGCACUAGACCAUCGCAGAGAUGUGGUUUUCUUUCUGACUGGUGUACAGGUGGUGCAUGGUUGUCGUCAGCUCGUGUCGUGAGAUGUUGGGUUAAGUCCCGCAACGAGCGCAACCCUCGUUCUAUGUUGCCAGCACGUGAUGGUGGGAACUCAUGGGAGACUGCCGGGGUCAACUCGGAGGAAGGUGGGGAUGACGUCAAAUCAUCAUGCCCUUUAUGUCUUGGGCUUCACGCAUGCUACAAUGGCCGGUACAAAGCGCUGCAAACCUGCAAAGGGGAGCCAAUCGCAAAAAACCGGCCUCAGUUCAGAUUGAGGUCUGCAACUCGACCUCAUGAAGGCGGAAUCGCUAGUAAUCGUGGAUCAGAAUGCUACGGUGAAUACGUUCCCGGGCCUUGUACACACCGCCCGUCACACCAUGGGAGUGGGUUGCAAAAGAAGUAGGUAGCUUAACCUUCGGGAGGGCGCUUACCACUUUGUGAUUCAUGACUGGGGUGAAGUCGUAACAAGGUAACCGUAAAUCGAAU